GGGGCCUUAGCUCAGUUGGCAGAGCGCCUGCUUUGCAAGCAGGAAGUCAGGAGUUCGAAUCUCCUAGGCUCCACCC
rnacentral:tRNA from 2 species